UACGUAGGGGGCGAGCGUUGUCCGGAUUCAUUGGGCGUAAAGCGCGCGCAGGCGGUGGCGUGAGCCCGGCGUGAAAGCCCCCAGCUCAACUGGGGGAGGCCGUCGGAGACCGCGGCACUUGAGGCCGGUAGGGGAGAGCGGAAUUCCCGGUGUAGUGGUGGAAUGCGUAGAUAUCGGGAGGAACACCAGUGGCGAAGGCGAUCACCUGGGGAUGUUCUGACGCUGAGGAGCGAAAGCUAGGGGAGCAAACGGG
rnacentral:rRNA from 1 species